AACGCACAUUGCGCCCAUUAGUAUUCUAGUGGGCAUGCCUGUUCGAGCGUCAUUUCAACCUUCAGUUUUCUGAUGUUGGACACUGUAGGAAACUACAGGGCCAAAAUAUAGCGGCGAAAGCACCUAUGCCAAGUGAAGUAAACUCUCGCUACGGCUACAGUGACAAUCUGCCCACACCAUCUUUUUCAGGUUGACCUCGAAUCAGACAGGAAUACCCGCUGAACUUAA
rnacentral:misc_RNA from 1 species